CUAUGCGCCUUGCCAGCCCGCUCAGGUGUGCCAGCCGCCGCGGUAAUACGGAGGAUGCGAGCGUUAUCCGGAUUUAUUGGGUUUAAAGGGUGCGUAGGCGGGCUGUUAAGUCAGCGGUCAAAUGUCGGGGCUCAACCCCGGCCUGCCGUUGAAACUGGUGGCCUCGAGUGGGCGAGAAGUAUGCGGAAUGCGUGGUGUAGCGGUGAAAUGCAUAGAUAUCACGCAGAACUCCGAUUGCGAAGGCGGCAUACCGGCGCCCUACUGACGCUGAGGCACGAAAGCGUGGGUAUCGAACAGG
rnacentral:rRNA from 1 species